GAUGAACGCUGGCGGCGUGCCUAAUACAUGCAAGUCGAGCGAACGGACGAGAAGCUUGCUUCUCUUAUGUUAGCGGCGGACGUGUGAGUAACACGUGUAUAACCUACCUAUAAUACUGGGAUAACUUCGGGAAACCGGAGCUAAUACCGUAUAAUAUUUUGAACCGCAUGGUUCAAAAGUGAAAGUCGGUCUUGCUGUCUCUUUUAGAUGGUUCCGCGCUGCAUUAGCUAGUUGUUAAGGUAACGGCUUACCAAGGCAACGAUGCAUAGCCGACCUGAGAGGGUGAUCGGCAACACUGGAACUGAGACACGGUCCAGACUACUACGGGAGGCAGCAGUAGGGAAUCUUCCGCAAUGGGCGAAAGCAUGACGGAGCAACGCCGAGUGAGUGAUGAAGGUCUUCGGAUCGUAAAACUCUGUUAUUAGGGAAGAACAUAUGUGUAAGUAACUGUGCACAUCUUGACGGUACCUAAUCAGAAAGCCACGGCUAACUACGUG
rnacentral:rRNA from 1 species